UACGUAGGGGGCUAGCGUUGUCCGGAUUUAUUGGGCGUAAAGAGCGUGUAGGCGGCCAGGUAGGUCUGCUGUGAAAACUCGAGGCUCAACCUCGAGACGUCGGCGGAAACCAUCUGGCUAGAGUCCGGAAGAGGAGAGUGGAAUUCCUGGUGUAGCGGUGAAAUGCGCAGAUAUCAGGAAGAACACCCGUGGCGAAGGCGGCUCUCUGGGACGGUACUGACGCUGAGACGCGAAAGCGUGGGGAGCGAACAAG
rnacentral:rRNA from 1 species